rnacentral:rRNA from 1 species
GAUGAACGCUGGCGGCGUGCCUAAUACAUGCAAGUCGAACGCUGGAGAUCUAGCUUGCUAGAUCGAAGGAGUGGCGAACGGGUGAGUAAUACAUAAGCAACCUACCCACGAAGACUGGGAUAAUCUCUGGAAACGGGGACUAAUACCGGAUAGGUAAUCGGAAGGCAUCUUCUGGUUAUUAAAGGUUAAAAACACUGGUGGAUGGGCUUAUGGCGCAUUAGUUAGUUGGUGAGGUAACGGCCCACCAAGACGAUGAUGCGUGGCCGGCCUGAGAGGGUGAACGGCCACAUUGGGACUGAGACACGGCCCAGACUCCUACGGGAGGCAGCAGUAGGGAAGUUUCAGCAAUGGGGGCAACCCUGACCGAGCAACGCCGCGUGAGUGAAGACGGCCUUCGGGUUGUAAAGCUCUGUUGUAAGGGAAGAACGGUAGAUAGAGAAUAUCUAAGUGACGGUACCUUACCAGAAAGCCACGGCUAACUACGUG